UAUCCCUACGGGAGGCAGCAGUGAGGAAUAUUGGUCAAUGGGCGGGAGCCUGAACCAGCCAAGUCGCGUGAGGGAAGACGGUCCUACGGAUUGUAAACCUCUUUUGCCGGGGAGCAACGGGGUCCUUGCGAGGUCCCAAUGAGAGUACCCGGAGAAAAAGCAUCGGCUAACUCCGUGCCAGCAGCCGCGGUAAUACGGAGGAUGCGAGCGUUAUCCGGAUUUAUUGGGUUUAAAGGGUGCGUAGGCAGUUUGAUAAGUUAGAGGUGAAAUGUCGGGGCUCAACCCCGAAACUGCCUCUAAUACUG
rnacentral:rRNA from 1 species